rnacentral:rRNA from 1 species
AGUGAACGCUGGCGGUAGGCCUAACACAUGCAAGUCGAACGGCAGCACAGUAAGAGCUUGCUCUUACGGGUGGCGAGUGGCGGACGGGUGAGGAAUACAUCGGAAUCUACUUUUUCGUGGGGGAUAAUGUAGGGAAACUUACGCUAAUACCGCAUACGACCUACGGGUGAAAGCAGGGGAUCUUCGGACCUUGCGCGAUUGAAUGAGCCGAUGUCGGAUUAGCUAGUUGGCGGGGUAAAGGCCCACCAAGGCGACGAUCCGUAGCUGGUCUGAGAGGAUGAUCAGCCACACUGGAACUGAGACACGGUCCAGACUCCUACGGGAGGCGGCAGUGGGGAAUAUAGGACAAUGGGCGCAAGCCUGAUCCAGCCAUACCGCGUGGGUGAAGAAGGCCUUCGGGUUGUAAAGCCCUUUUGUUGGGAAAGAAAAGCAGCAGGUUAAUACCCCGCUGUUCUGACGGUACCCAAAGAAUAAGCACCGGCUAACUUCGU